AACGAACGUUGGCGGCAUGCCUAAUACAUGCAAGUCGAGCGAACAGAUGAAGUGCUUGCACUUCUGACGUUAGCGGCGAACGGGUGAGUAACACGUAAGGAAUCUACCUAUAAGCGGGGGAUAACAUUCGGAAACGGGUGCUAAUACCGCAUAAUAUCUUCUUCCGCAUGGAAGAAGAUUGAAAGACGGCUCUGCUGUCACUUAUAGAUGACCUUGCGGUGCAUUAGUUAGUUGGUGGGGUAAUGGCCUACCAAGACGAUGAUGCAUUGCCGACCUGAGAGGGUGACCGGCCAAAUUGGGACUGAUACACGGCCCAAACUCCUACGGGAGGCAGCAGUAGGGAAUCUUCCGCAAUGGGCGAAAGCCUGACGGAGCAAUGCCGCGUGAGUGAAGAAGGCCUUCGGGUCGUAAAACUCUGUUAUAAGAGAAGAACAAAUUGUAGAGUAACUGCUACAGUCUUGACGGUAUCUUAUCAGAAAGCCACGGCUAACUACGUGCCAGCCGCCGCCGUAA
rnacentral:rRNA from 1 species